rnacentral:rRNA from 1 species
UGGGGAAUAUUGGACAAUGGGGGAAACCCUGAUCCAGCGACGCCGCGUGAGUGAAGAAGUAUCUCGGUAUGUAAAGCUCUAUCAGCAGGGAAGAAAGAAAUGACGGUACCUGACUAAGAAGCCCCGGCUAACUACGUGCCAGCAGCCGCGGUAAUACGUAGGGGGCAAGCGUUAUCCGGAUUUACUGGGUGUAAAGGGAGCGUAGACGGCAAGGCAAGUCUGAUGUGAAAGAUCGGGGCCCAACCCCGGGACUGCAUUGGAAACUGUCUGGCUGGAGUACAGGAGAGGUAAGUGGAAUUCCUAGUGUAGCGGUGAAAUGCGUAGAUAUUAGGAGGAACACCAGUGGCGAAGGCGGCUUACUGGACUGUAACUGACGUUGAGGCUCGAAAGCGUGGGGAGCAAACAGG